GUAGUCAAUUUUCAAAACAUUGUCGCUAUUCACAUUAUUGCCAGGGUCAAGAAAUGAUAGGAGAUUCAUAAACUCCAACGUGCUCUCCUUUAUCUAACCAUUAUAAAGAAGAAGCCUUAAAUCAGCCACAAGUAUCUUAUAUUCUGCAAAAUGUGAUGAAAUUCUGGGGCGUUGACAUUCAUCAAUUAUGACAGCUUCCCAUUUUGAUUCAUAUUUCCAUUCACCCUGUCAUUGACAUUGAAAAUUGGGUGUGUAAUCUUUACAAGGGCAGUAGGUGGUAUAUUGGCAAAAUGGUCAUAGUCAAGAAGGUGAGCUGUCACUUCUCUAAACCUGUCCCCUCAACCCUUAUUAAACGUUUCAGGCCUGAUUGCCCAAGGGUUUUCCCCUUUCCCAAAACAACCUCAUUCCAUUUAAAAUUGUGCUCCUCAUUUUCCGAAGGCUAUAUCCGCGUGCCCAAAUGUUUGGAAUACAUAAUUCUGGUCAGAAUGUCUCUACUGACAGCUGCAGAAUCUGAACCAAGCCAUUUCGAAUCUCUUAGUGCGUAAGUUACAUCUCCAAUGCAUCCAUGCGUGGUAUUGAAAGGUGGCAGCCUUCAAGUUCUGAAUGUUGCGGCUGUCUUCGAAUUUGGGAUGGUGCGUAGCGUAAGUGGAUGCAGCCCAUGAAGAAACCUGUGCAUGGAGUCCAUUAGUGCUCGCAACUUCUUAAAAAAAAUCCUGGGGGUUCCUCUAGAAAGCGGACUAUGCAUGUACGUGUGUUCUCUGAAAAUCAAAACUGUGCGUGGACUUCUUCAUGCGGCUGUGAAGACUUCCCGAGGUGGCGUGUUUCUGUUAGUGCGUGGUCCCCAUGGGAGUGCAGGCCGCCCCUCAAUCCAUGCUCUUGGAUUUCAAGUGUCCGUCCAAAGUGGCAACAUGAGAUGUUUGUUUCUCUCAAAGUACGGAGCAAUGAACCCUCAAAGAUUCUUUGGGGUCAAGCUUAAGAGACUGAACGUGAAUACCAGAGAUUCUGAGCUAUGACAUUGCGUUUAAGUCUUUUGGAAAGUGACUUUAGAAAAGACUUCAAGGCGGAAUUCUGAACUGCAAUGUAAUGUGCAUGACAGCCUUGGAAGUCUCAUCAGAAAAAGUUCAAAUUUCUUCCAUUGGAGGCCUCAAAUUCAACUUCUUGAUUCGUCAAAGAGGAUUUUAGUCCAAGAGAUGCAGGCCUUUGAUGGUCGAACUUCCUUUUUAUCUCAAGUAAUUCACGAACAUAAAUUAUGGGAAUAUCACCAGGCUGAACCAUAGUACCAGCUUCGCUGUCUUGUGAAGAGAGGACCCCGAGUCCACAAACUUGAAGGAGAAAGAGAGCACAUAAGUCACUUUCCAUUGUAACUCCUGACAAUAUUGUUGAUUUUUGAAUUCAGAAGGGGUGUCAUCAGAUUGAAUGCGUCUGCUCCCAUGUAUGACCCACCACUUCGAUUUUGUUGACAAGCGCCAAUAACAACUGAAAUCCAACUCUCUGAGUCUUUACAUCAUGCUGUCCACAAGCAUCCUUCAGAAACCUAAUCAGUGGUUCAAUAAAAUUCUUAGAUGAUAGCG